rnacentral:lncRNA from 1 species
CUAUUUUCCUAUAGUCCAACCAGCCUAAGGUUUAUUAGGUCCACUAAGACUCAACCCUAGGCUCUGAUACCAAACUAAUCUGUCACGCCCUGAGACCCAGCGGAAGCCCGCCAGACGCGUGUCCAGACCGGCCAUACGUCUAAAACAUAUAAGGCGUCUAAAACAAAACGAUAAAUGAGACAAUAAAAGAAAUAACUAGAAGUAUCAGAGCAAUAUACAACAU